GAUGAACGCUGGCGGCGUGCCUAAUACUUGCAAGUCGAGCGAACGGACGAGAAGCUUGCUUCUCUGAUGUUAGCGGCGGACGGGUGAGUAACACGUGGAUAACCUACCUAUAAGACUGGGAUAACUUCGGGAAACCGGAGCUAAUACCGGAUGAUAUUUUGAACCGCAUGGUUCAAAAGUGAAAGACGGUCUUGCUGUCACUUAUAGAUGGAUCCGCGCUGCAUUAGCUAGUUGGUGAGGUAACGGCUUACCAAGGCAACGAUGCAUAGCCGACCUGAGAGGGUGAUCGGCCACACUGGAACUGAGACACGGUCCAGACUCCUACGGGAGGCAGCAGUAGGGAAUCUUCCGCAAUGGGCGAAAGCCUGACGGAGCAACGCCGCGUGAGUGAUGAAGGUCUUCGGAUCGUAAAACUCUGUUAUUAGGGAAGAACAUAUGUGUAAGUAACUGUGCACAUCUUGACGGUACCUAAUCAGAAAGCCACGGCUAACUACGUG
rnacentral:rRNA from 1 species